GACGAACGCUGGCGGCGUGCUUAAUACAUGCAAGUCGAACGGAAAGGCCCUGCUCUUGCGGGGUUCUCGAGUGGCGAAAGGGUGAGUAACACGUGAGUAACCUGCCCUUGACUUUGGGAUAACUUCAGGAAACUGGGGCUAAAACCGGAUAGGAGCUCCUGCUCCAUGGGGUGGGUUGGAAAGUUUCGGCGGUUGGGGAUGGACUCGCGGCUUAUCAGCUUGUUGGUGGGGUAGUGGCUUACCAAGGCUUUGACGGGUAGCCGGCCUGAGAGGGUGACCGGCCACAUUGGGACUAAGAGACGGCCCAGACUCCUACGGGAGGCAGCAGUGGGGAAUAUUGCACAAUGGGCGGAAGCCUGAUGCAGCAACGCCGCGUGCGGGAUGACGGCCUUCGGGUUGUAAACCGCUUUCGCCUGUGACGAAGCGUGAGUGACGGUAAUGGGUAAAGAAGCACCGGCUAACUACAUG
rnacentral:rRNA from 1 species